rnacentral:rRNA from 1 species
GACGGAGGAUGCAAGUGUUAUCCGGAAUCACUGGGCGUAAAGCGUCUGUAGGUGGUUUAAAAAGUCCACUGUUAAAAAUUGAAGCUUAACUUCAAAGAUGCCGUGGAAACUUUUAAACUUGAGUAUGAUAGGGGUAGAGGGAAUUUCCAGUGGAGCGGUGAAAUGCGUAGAUAUUGGAAAGACCACCAAUGGCGAAGGCACUCUACUGGGCCAUUACUGACACUGAGAGACGAAAGCUAGGGUAGCGAAUGGG